rnacentral:tRNA from 1 species
GUGGAUGUAGCCAAGUGGUAAGGCAUUGGAUUGUGGUUCCAUGAUCGCGGGUUCGAUUCCCGUCAUUCGCC